rnacentral:rRNA from 1 species
GACAGAGGUGGCGAGCGUUAUCCGGAUUGACUGGGCGUAAAGGGCGUGUAGGCGGUUCUAUACGUCGGUCGUGAAAGGCGUCGGCUCAACCGAAGCAGUGCGACCGAGACUGUAGGGCUUGGAGCGCGGAAGAGGAAAGGGGAAUUCCCGGUGUAGCAGUGAAAUGCGUAGAUAUCGGGAAGAACACCAAUGGCGAAGGCGCCUUUCUGGUCCGUUGCUGACGCUGAGGCGCGAAAGCCAGGGGAGCGAACGGG